AGUACCAUUAAAGGAAGAAAAUAGUGUUGUCAAGGUAGAAACAAAGGGAGAGAGCAAAAGCACUUUCCUUUGGCCCAUACCAUGUUUCCUCAAUAGCCUGUUGAUUUGAUUACCCACUUGAAAAUUUUUCUUCCUCACUAUAUCUUACAUCACAUUUCAUCAAAAUUUCUUCCACCAACAAAUAUUUGCAAACGAAAUCAAUGAUGUCGAAUGAUCACGGAGGAGGAGAAGGAUCAUCGUCAUCAGCUGCCACCGCUGCCGAUCACGGCCACCAGCUGCAGCCGCCACCGCAGCUCAGCCGGUACGAGUCCCAGAAGCGGCGCGACUGGAACACGUUCGGACAGUACCUGCGGAACCAGCGGCCGCAGGUGGCGCUGUCGCAGUGCAACUACAGCCACGUGUUGGAAUUCAUGCGCUACCUCGACCAGUUCGGGAAGACUAAGGUCCACAUACAAGGAUGCAUGUUUUUCGGGCAGCCCGAGCCCGCGGGCCCCUGCACCUGCCCCCUGAGGCAGGCAUGGGGCAGCUUAGACGCUCUCGUGGGCCGCUUGAGGGCGGCCUACGAGGAGAAUGGAGGAGCCCCAGAGACCAACCCGUUUGCCAACGGGGCGAUACGGGUCUAUCUCCGUGAGGUAAGGGAUUCCCAAGCUAAGGCGCGGGGAAUCCCUUACAGAAAGAAGAAGAAGAGAAAGAAGCCUAAUCACACAGUCAACUCUACUUUUCACUCUAUGCAGUCUUCUUCUGGAGUCUAAGUUCCGUCAUAGCAAACUUCUCCAUGACAUGUAAUUGGAGAUGCCUGUGCAAGUGACCGUCUAGCUAGAGUGGUAGCAAUCGUAAAAGUGAAAGAAGAGAAGUUAUAUGGCUAAAAUGAUCGAUUUCAGAUUUCAGCGUUAACUGCAGUUUUCAGCUUAUAUUGGUAAAGACGAAUUGCAGCACCGCGGUAUAUCAGUUUAAACUACUACUCUUUCUUUACUAUAACUGAAAGAUUUUUUGUUGGAUUUAUAGUUGUAUUUGUUAGAUCUUAUAUUCGUCAAAUAUCAGUAAUUAAACAGUACUUACAUUUAUCUGGUUUCUUAAUGAAUACUUUGAUUAUAUAUCAUUAUUUUAAGUUUU